rnacentral:lncRNA from 1 species
GAACAGGAGUGAACAAUUCCUGUUUUUCUGAUUCUCCUUUCCCACCAAAGAUUCCUAACUUUCAACACAGUUGCUGAAGCUUAGGGGGAAGUAUGUAAUGAUGUUUGUGACAAAAAAUAAAUGUGAUCAACUGGUAAAAACAGCCUGAUGUUGUGUCUUCAGUGAAUGUUCCCACUAGCCAGGCUGAGCUUAAGGUGUAUGGUCAACUAAACAAUCCAAAAACCAUGUAGCUCCACAAUAAUCAGAAAUUCUGGAUCCAGUAAAACAAGUCUCCUUUAAGACAUGGCUGAAUGCUGGAAGAAAGUAAAGAAAGUUCCUGGAGUCAAAGAUGAAGUGAGAAGGAAAAAUCAGAGCAGUGAGUACGUGCAUGUAUGCUAGAGCCACUCAGGGUGGGAGUUGCCUGGCUUGGCCACCUAGAGGCUUGGAUUAGAAUGCUCAGGCCAGGGCAGAAUGUGAGGCCUGGAGAUACAGAAUGCUGGGUGUUGGAACUGCAACCCCUGCAGAAAUCCUGGUCUUCAGAAGGGCUAUACUCAGAGUGAGGGAAUGAAUCAGGAAAUGCACCCAUCGGCUCAGGGAGACAAUAAAGGUGAUUUUCUAUCUCAGUGGUCUGGGCUCUAGGGGAAAAGUUUCCCUUGAGAGUUUGUAAUCAUGGGUCUGUCAUUCCAUUGGUUCUGAAAACCUCUAAACUGAGAAAUAAACAUAAACUGA